GAUGAACGCUGGCGGCGUGCUUAACACAUGCAAGUCGAACGAUGAAGCCCAGCUUGCUGGGUGGAUUAGUGGCGAACGGGUGAGUAACACGUGAGUAACCUGCCCUUAACUCUGGGAUAAGCCUGGGAAACUGGGUCUAAUACCGGAUAGGAGCGUCCACCGCAUGGUGGGUGUUGGAAAGAUUUAUCGGUUUUGGAUGGACUCGCGGCCUAUCAGCUUGUUGGUGAGGUAAUGGCUCACCAAGGCGACGACGGGUAGCCGGCCUGAGAGGGUGACCGGCCACACUGGGACUGAGACACGGCCCAGCCUCCUCCGGGAGGCAGCAGUGGGGAAUAGUGCACAAUGGGCGCAAGCCUGAUGCAGCGACGCCGCGUGAGGGAUGACGGCCUUCGGGUUGUAAACCUCUUUCAGUAGGGAAGAAGCGAAAGUGACGGUACCUGAAGAAGAAGCACCGGCUAACUACGUG
rnacentral:rRNA from 1 species